rnacentral:rRNA from 1 species
CAGCCGCCGCGGGAAUACAGAGGGUGCAAGCGUUAAUCGGAAUUACUGGGCGUAAAGCGCGCGUAGGUGGUUUGUUAAGUUGGAUGUGAAAUCCCCGGGCUCAACCUGGGAACUGCAUUCAAAACUGACUGACUAGAGUAUGGUAGAGGGUGGUGGAAUUUCCUGUGUAGCGGUGAAAUGCGUAGAUAUAGGAAGGAACACCAGUGGCGAAGGCGACCACCUGGACUAAUACUGACACUGAGGUGCGAAAGCGUGGGGAGCAAACAGGAUUAGAUACCCCGGUAGUCCCUGUCUCUUAUAA